rnacentral:pre_miRNA from 1 species
ACAUGAAUCUCCUGGAGAUCUUGUUAAAAUGUAGAUUCUGAAUCAGUCGGUCUGGGGUAGUUCUGAGAGUCUGCAUUCGUAACAAGCUCUCAGGUAAUGCUGAU